rnacentral:rRNA from 1 species
AGAGUUUGAUCAUGGCUCAGAGUGAACGCUGGCGGUAGGCCUAACACAUGCAAGUCGAACGGCAGCACAGGAGAGCUUGCUCUCUGGGUGGCGAGUGGCGGACGGGUGAGGAAUACAUCGGAAUCUACCUUUUCGUGGGGGAUAACGUAGGGAAACUUACGCUAAUACCGCAUACGACCUACGGGUGAAAGUGGGGGACCGCAAGGCCUCACGCGAUUAGAUGAGCCGAUGUCCGAUUAGCUAGUUGGUGGGGUAAAGGCCUACCAAGGCGACGAUCCGUAACUGGUCUGAGAGGAUGAUCAGUCACACUGGAACUGAGACACGGUCCAGACUCCUACGGGAGGCAGCAGUGGGGAAUAUUGGACAAUGGGCGAAAGCCUGAUCCAGCCAUGCCGCGUGUGUGAAGAAGGUCUUCGGAUUGUAAAGCACUUUAAGUUGGGAGGAAGGGCAGUAAGUUAAUACCUUGCUGUUUUGACGUUACCAACAGAAUAAGCACCGGCUAACUUCGUGCCAGCAGCCGCGGUAAUACGAAGGGUGCAAGCGUUAAUCGGAAUUACUGGGCGUAAAGCGCGCGUAGGUGGUUCAGCAAGUUGGAUGUGAAAUCCCCGGGCUCAACCUGGGAACUGCAUCCAAAACUACUGAGCUAGAGUACGGUAGAGGGUGGUGGAAUUUCCUGUGUAGCGGUGAAAUGCGUAGAUAUAGGAAGGAACACCAGUGGCGAAGGCGACCACCUGGACUGAUACUGACACUGAGGUGCGAAAGCGUGGGGAGCAAACAGGAUUAGAUACCCCGGUAGUCCAA